UGUGAAUGAAAAGGAAAAGUUCUUGAAGGAAUUUAGAAGUGUUACUCCAGUGAGCACACAAAUGAUAAGAAAGUGAAACAACCUUACUGCUUACAUGGAGAAAGUGAAAGGUUUAGCAGUCUGAAGA